rnacentral:rRNA from 1 species
CGAACGCUGGCGGCGUGCCUAAUACAUGCAAGUCGAGCGGAGUUGAUGAGGCUUGCUUCUCUGAUGCUUAGCGGCGGACGGGUGAGUAACACGUAGGUAACCUGCCUGUAAGACUGGGAUAACUACCGGAAACGGUAGCUAAUACCGGAUAAUUUAUUUCUCUCCUGGGGAGAUGAUGAAAGACGGAGCAAUCUGUCACUUACAGAUGGGCCUGCGGCGCAUUAGCUAGUUGGUGAGGUAACGGCUCACCAAGGCGACGAUGCGUAGCCGACCUGAGAGGGUGAACGGCCACACUGGGACUGAGACACGGCCCAGACUCCUACGGGAGGCAGCAGUAGGGAAUCUUCCGCAAUGGACGAAAGUCUGACGGAGCAACGCCGCGUGAGUGAUGAAGGUUUUCGGAUCGUAAAGCUCUGUUGCCAGGGAAGAACGUCCGGUAGAGUAACUGCUACCGGAGUGACGGUACCUGAGAAGAAAGCCCCGGCUAACUACGUGCCAGCAGC